rnacentral:sRNA from 1 species
CCCUGAUUUGAUUUAGACUCGAUUCCGGCUAGAAAGAAAGUUCUUUGUAUAUAAACAUUUCGUUGGAUUACUAGUAACCCCGUUGUGUUGUACGCAAUAGCAAUAAACUUUUCCACGCUAUCAGUGCCACAAUUGGCUCACUAUAAAAAUUAAUUUUAGGGAUAACAUCAUGUCUAACACAGUUACUGGUACAGUAAAAUGGUUCAACGAAACUAAAGGCUUCGGUUUCAUUCAACAAGAAAACGGUCCAGACGUAUUUGCACAUUUCUCUGCAAUCACUGGCGAAGGUUUCAAAACUCUUGCAGAAGGCCAAAAAGUUGAGUUCGUAGUAUCUCAAGGUCAAAAAGGCCCACAAGCUGACAGCAUCAAAGUACUUUAAUUUAGUAUUUUAAAGCUUUCUAAAAAUAGCCAGCCUCUGCUGGCUAUUUUUUU